rnacentral:misc_RNA from 1 species
AAGUCGUAACAAGGUAUCCGUUGGUGAACCAGCGGAUGGAUCAUUACCUGAAGCGAGAUACGCCAAUGAGGGCUGUGGCUACCGCAGUUGGUUAGCCUCUGGGAUGGCUGGGAACCAGCCUACCAGUGCUCGUGGUGUGGGAGGCGACUGGAGUUGGUGUCGAGGCCAGCGAGCGUCACGCACGCUUGACGAGUGGAAGGGUUGUUGGAAGGGACUUCCUUGCUGGAAGUCCAGGCGAGAUGCCUCCUCAAUCCCCGGGACUGCCUUGGACUUCACCAAAGCGAUUGUCUGUAAAGAGGACAACUGCUGGCCGUGGAUCACUUGGCUGACG